rnacentral:lncRNA from 1 species
CAUCAGUAUAAUAUAUCAUAGAUGCUAAAGUAUAAUCAACGGUAUCGUUAAGAAAUGUCAACAAUUUGUGCCGAUGUCUUUAUACCCUUUUACUCUUAUUAAUUAUAAAAUCGAUGUCUAAAAUAUUAAGAGCAUCGGUUUUUAGAUUUGUCGAUGCCUAUGUGGUGUUGUGUAAAGUAAAAUUUGGCAUAGUGUAUGUGUCAACACGUCGCUCCUGCUUUAUUGCAUGUGACUUACUAGGAGACGACAUUGGGGCCUACGUUUCAGAAAUCCCGCUCUUUGCUCUUCCAAUUCACAUUUUGUCUUAAAUUAAAAAAAAAAUCAUUUAAAAAUAAUAAUAAAAGGUAAAAUGUGUGGGCUUUAGAAUUCAUUAUGGGUUAGAUUUCACCGUGGUUUGGGUUUCGAAAUUGUGGGCUUUGGGCUUCAAAGAGGGUUAGGUUUCAAAUUACGUAAGCUGUGUUUUUGUUUUCUGAGUAAUUUACUGUUUUUGUUUUAGCUUUUGUUUUGUUUGUUCUCUUUUAUUGUUUUUAUUUGAUUGUUGUGUUGGUUUUGUGCUUUUCCUUCAUUCAUUUGUGUGUUUUAAGUUUUUUUUAUUUUUUUAUUUUUUUUACUCUUGUGUUCUUUUCUUAUUUCCCUUUUGCAUCUCCAUAUAUUAUAUUUUGUGCUUCAUGAUUGGAAUAAUUUCAAGGUGAAAUUGGAAAAGCAAUUUUCAGGUAAUAAGUUUCUUUUUCUUACCCUUUCUUAUUUCUUACAUUUGUCAUGCUUUAAUUUUGAAACAGUAAGGACAGUGUUUGAUUUAGGUUUGUGGUAGGAUUGAGAAGUUCUUUUAUUU